AUUGAACGCUGGCGGCAUGCCUUACACAUGCAAGUCGAACGGUAACAGGUCUUCGGAUGCUGACGAGUGGCGAACGGGUGAGUAAUACAUCGGAACGUGCCUAGUAGUGGGGGAUAACUACUCGAAAGAGUGGCUAAUACCGCAUGAGAUCUACGGAUGAAAGCAGGGGAUCGCAAGACCUUGUGCUACUAGAGCGGCCGAUGGCAGAUUAGGUAGUUGGUGGGAUAAAAGCUUACCAAGCCGACGAUCUGUAGCUGGGCUGAGAGGACGAUCAGCCACACUGGGACUGAGACACGGCCCAGACUCCUACGGGAGGCAGCAGUGGGGAAUUUUGGACAAUGGGCGGAAGGCUGAUCCAGCAAUGCCGCGUGCAGGAUGAAGGCCUUCGGGUUGUAAACUGCUUUUGUACGGAACGAAAAGCCCUGGGUUAAUACCCUGGGGUCAUGACGGUACCGUAAGAAUAAGCACCGGCUAACUACGUGCCAGCCGCCGCCGUAA
rnacentral:rRNA from 1 species